ensembl:lncRNA
CCUAAAUUCACUUCUUGGUGCCAGCUCCUAAUUGUGGGGAUCUUUGAUGAUCUGGGCCCUCUGACUGAGUCCUGGGACCCCAAGGGGGCGCUAGUCUUGUACUUGUCAUCCUAUGUUACCUUCUUUCUGCUUUGCUUCUUCCUUCUGCCUUGCCAGACCAUUGCCCACCUAUGAAUGAACAUUCUCAUCUACUGUAAGCAGAGCACAAAACAGAAAUCCAAGUGUCAUAGUCUCUAGGUGCUGAAUAUGCAGUGUGGAAUAAUGGAGUAUUCCUAUUUUCGUAGAUUUUACAUGAUCGUGAAGAAAGCAAAAACUGACACAUACUUAUGUAAUAAUGAUAUCAAGGUUAUGAAGCAAAAAAAAUUGAAUAAGGCAGUGGAGAAUAUACGACAAGAGAAAGAAGCCAUCUGAGAAGCUGACUCCCUGCCCCAGUCAAGCCUUCAGAUGACUGUAGCCCCUGGCAAUAUCUUGGGGGCAAUGGAAGGAGACACCCUGAACCAAUCCACACAGAGAAGCUGACCCUGGAUUCCUGAGCUGGAGAGGCUGCUGCCAUGAAGUGAAAAAUCUACUCUGCCACACACAUUCCUACUGCCAUAAUGCACUGUGCCAUCACAGACACAAAGCAACUGGGCCAAGUGUCAUUGGAAUGCAACUGGUUUGAGCAAGGAAAUUCUAUGGAAGGAUCUGAAGAACUGGAUUGAUCGGCCCUUUGCUGUCUAUCCCCACGUAAGAAGAGAACUGCAAGUGCCAAGGCUCAGAAAUGUUCAAGAGUCGGCAUCCUCUGAGGUAUGGUGAGAAAAAGGUUCUUGAGUGAGGAGCAGAGGGUGCCAUGGCCAGGGGCAUGGAGCAAUCCCAGGUUCCAAUCCCAGGUCUGUAUUUACUAGCUUUAUAACCUGGGAGGAGUUUGGGUAAGUCUUUGAGCUUUUCUUUCCUUAUCUAGAAAAAGGGACAUAACAGUACCUACCUUAGAAGAUUUCUUUCAAUACAGCAUUAGUUCCUAUCUCCUUAGGAAAGCUCACCCUCUUAGCGCGG